rnacentral:rRNA from 1 species
GAAAGCUUGGCGAUACAGGGUGAUAGCCCCGUAACCGACGCUUCAUCGAGCGUGAAAUCGAGUAGGGCGGGACACGUGAUAUCCUGUCUGAAUAUGGGGGGACCAUCCUCCAAGGCUAAAUACUCCUGACUGACCGAUAGUGAACCAGUACCGUGAGGGAAAGGCGAAAAGAACCCCUGUGAGGGGAGUGAAAUAGAACCUGAAACCGUGUACGUACAAGCAGUAGGAGCACCUUCGUGGUGUGACUGCGUACCUUUUGUAUAAUGGGUCAGCGACUUAUAUUCAGUGGCAAGGUUAACCGUAUAGGGGAGCCGUAGCGAAAGCGAGUCUUAACUGGGCGCUCAGUCUCUGGAUAUAGACCCGAAACCGGGUGAUCUAGCCAUGGGCAGGUUGAAGGUUGAGUAACAUCAACUGGAGGACCGAACCGACUAAUGUUGAAAAAUUAGCGGAUGACUUGUGGCUAGGGGUGAAAGGCCAAUCAAACUCGGAGAUAGCUGGUUCUCCCCGAAAGCUAUUUAGGUAGCGCCUCGGACGAAUACUACUGGGGGUAGAGCACUGUUAAGGCUAGGGGGUCAUCCCGACUUACCAACCCUUUGCAAACUCCGAAUACCAGUAAGUACUAUCCGGGAGACACACGGCGGGUGCUAACGUCCGUCGUGGAGAGGGAAACAACCCAGACCGCCAGCUAAGGUCCCAAAGUAUUGCUAAGUGGGAAACGAUGUGGGAAGGCUCAGACAGCUAGGAUGUUGGCUUAGAAGCAGCCAUCAUUUAAAGAAAGCGUAAUAGCUCACUAGUCGAGUCGGCCUGCGCGGAAGAUGUAACGGGGCUAAGCA